rnacentral:tRNA from 1 species
GGCUCCGUGGCUUAGCUGGUUGAAGAGCCUGUCUAGCAAAUAGGAGAUCUUGGGUUCAAACCCCAGUGGGGCCU